UCUUUUUCCUGUCUUCCCAUUUUCCUUUCUUUUCUUUCUCUGGUGAUUCGUCUCAAACCCAGAAAAUCGACUAAAAUGACAAAAAGGUAGUAGUAAUCUCUAUAGACAGUCACACCUAGUUGCUGAUGGAGUUUAGGUUGAUUGCAUUACAAAUGGUUGAUCUGGGUUUGAAGUAACAUUUCCGAAUUUGUGGCUUAUUGGUUCAAUUUGUUUGCAUUACCUAAUUUAGAUUUGGGAAUUUUGAAUUGGGGGUUUGAUCUGAAGUAAUGGGUCCUAACUCAAUUUGUCAAGUGAAGAAGAGGUAUAAAAAAAGAAGCUAGAAAUACUACAGAAAACUCAUCUCCUCAGUCCUCACCAACAUCAAAGUGCCCAGAACCACAAACUGUUCGGUGAAACGCUCCACAGAGGAAAAAAAAAUGGCUAGAGGAGUAUGCAUUUUGAUAUGUUGAAUUUAUGCAAGUGUCUCGCAUCUUCAAAUGGCAUGCAAUAAAAUAUGGGUUUGAAUGAUGUUAGUAUUACUAUUACUGUUAAAGUUUGGUGUCUUGGCCAUGCUUGAAAUUUAUCUUAUAUCGAUUGAAAUGAUAAUUUGGGUCUUGCUUCAUGUAGAGCUGUAGCAUGAGUUUUUCUUAGGAUACUUCGGAUAUCACUCUUGUGUUCGUUUGUGUUGUUGGCUGGGUUGGCAUUUGACCUGUUUGGUAUUUAUUUUCUUACUAGCAAUAAUGAUUAUCUGGUGGUAUUACUCUGUCA